UGGGGAAUAUUGGACAAUGGGGGAAACCCUGAUCCAGCCAUGCCGCGUGUGUGAUGAAGGCCUUAGGGUUGUAAAGCACUUUUGUCAGGGAAGAUGAUGACGGUACCUGAAGAAUAAGCACCGGCUAACUUCGUGCCAGCAGCCGCGGUAAUACGAAGGGUGCUAGCGUUGUUCGGAAUUACUGGGCGUAAAGCGCGCGUAGGCGGCGUCGCAAGUCAGAGGUGAAAGCCCACAGCUCAACUGUGGAAUUGCCUUUGAAACUGCGAUGCUUGAGUGUCGGAGGGGAUAGCGGAAUUGCUAAUGUAGAGGUGAAAUUCGUAGAUAUUAGCAGGAACACCGGUGGCGAAGGCGGCUAUCUGGACGACAACUGACGCUGAGGCGCGAAAGCGUGGGGAUCAAACAGG
rnacentral:rRNA from 1 species